rnacentral:snRNA from 1 species
GUGCCUGCUUUGGCAGCACAUACACUAAAAUUGGAACGAUACACAGAUUAGCAUGGCCUCUGCGCAAGGAUGACAUGCAAAUUCGUGAAGCGUUCCAUAUUUUU